rnacentral:sRNA from 1 species
GUUAUUCAAAAAUAUAAGUGGAAGCAGCUCACAGCUCAUACUGAACCUCAACCAACAUAUAAACUAAAGAUUUCCAUCGAUCCGACACACAAAACUACACUGGCGUCGAAAUUCGAUUAAAGGUAUUCAUGCGAUCUUUUGGCACUGCAAGAUGGAAGAUUCUCAAACGUCUGUGAGGAGAGCUGUAUGCAUGCAUAAACUAGCGACAACUAGCGACAUCCAACAACGAAAAUUCAACAAGCAACAAGCGAGAAACCACAAGCACAGACAACUACGACAACAAUCGAAAAAUGGAUGAGCAGCCGAGUAUUGAAAAAAGGGGUGUCGAUGUGGUGGGAAGUCCACGCGUGACAAAUCAAAUGAGAGGUGGACGAACGGCGAAGCAACGUCACUAGGGGACCCGACAUGCCAACUGCAGGAUGCACUUGGCUAAUUGGUUGGCGAAAAUAAGCACGGUGACUGAUUAUAUUGCUUUGAAGCUGGCAGCUUGAUGGUGACACAUCAACCAAAUGGUCGAGAUGAACUGGCUGACGUCGGUUGAAAAACUGACAAAUGCAUCUGAAAAGUGAGGCGCGGAGCUGAACGGAACAUAUUGAAAGUCAUUGACUCCAUACACUAGCAAUUGAUUUCUCCUGGGGCAGCUAUUAUACUUCGAUUUUUAUAAAAGUCGGU